UACUGGCUACGGCGUCUCAAGAGGGACAAAGAGUACUAUUGCAGUUUUUCAAGAAAAGGUAUUUUAAGGGAGUAUGCGAGGCACAGACAUUCACUUCUCCUAGUGGAGAACUGUUAGGCUGCAAACGCAACCGAACGUUCAGCAGAGGCAUUUAGGCUGUAAACCCAACAGAACAUUCUGCAGAGGCAUUUAGGCUGCAAACCCAACAGAACAUUCUGCAGAGGCAUUUAGGCUGCAAACCCAACAGAACAUUCUGCAGAGGCAUUUAGGCUGAAAACCCAACAGAACAUUCUGCAGAGGCAUUUAGGCUGAAAACCCAACAGAACAUUUAGGCUGCAAACGCAACCGAACGUUCAGCAGAGGCAUUUAGGCUGCAAACGCAACAGAACAUUCUGCAGAGGCAUUUAGGCUGCAAGAAAAGAUGGCGCCUAAAGAUAGAGCAGUUGAACUCAUUCAUUUGGUGGGUGUUUAUAUUGGUCCUGUUUCCUAUUAGUCCUAUGUGGGUUUUUGGCACAUCCCAACUCUCCCUGAGACACCCUCGGAGAGUGGGGUCGCGACCCUGGAGCAAUUACGGCCUAUUUAUUGCCUUACCUCCUCACGCCAUUUGCACACACUGUAUAUAGACUUUUUCUAUUGUUUUAUUGACUGUACGUUUGUUUAUUCCAGGUGUAACUCUGUUGUUGUUGUUUGUGUCACACUGCUUUUGCUUUAUCUUGGACAGGUCCUAGUUGUAAAUGAGAACUUGUUCUCAACUGGCCUGCCUGGUUAAAUAAAGGUGUUCUCAACUGGCCUGCCUGGUUAAAUAAAGGUGAAAUAAAAAAUAAAGUCAAUAAAAAGUGCCGUGUGAUUUUUUUUUUUUUUUUUACCUCGUCGGUGGCUGGUCCCAAUGCCCUAACCGCUACGCUACGUGCCGCCCUAACCGCUAGGCUACGUGCCGCCCUAACCGCUAGGCUACGUGCCGCCCUAACCGCUAGGCUACGUGCCGCCCUAACCGCUAGGCUACG
ensembl:lncRNA